AUAAGCAAGAAUUUAAUUUUGGUUCCGAUUGAACGCUUUCCAGUAGUUUAAGGCAUGCAAAUUUUUAUUUAACACACGUUAAAUAAAGUGUAGGGGUGAGGAUAUUAAAUAAGAUACACUAUAAUCUUCAGAAAUAGAAGAUAAAAAAAAGGAAAUUUUCUGUUAUAGAAUUCUAUUUAAUUCGAUUAGGUAGUUGAUAGGGUAAAAGCCUACCAAGCCGACGAUCGAUAGCCAUGUUUGACAGAUCAUAUGGCCACAUUGGGAAUGAGAUAUCCCAAGUAGAGUACUCUACCAGCAGUCGAGAAUAUUAGUCAAUGCUCGCCAGAGUGAACUAGCUAACUGGAAUCACGAAUGUGUCAUUUGUGAUAACGUAAAGGAAAAAUAAUGAUGUUACUUUACUAUUAGUGUUGUCAAAGUCUGGUGCCAGAAGACUCGGUAAGGCCAGAGACGCAAGCGUUAAUCAUCUUGAUCAGGCGUAAAGGGUUUGUAGGCGGCUUAAAAUAAUAAUAAAGCUAGAAUCAGAUAGAGGUCACCGUGAGAGAACACUUGGAGUAGGGUUGAUAUCUGUAGAUACCAAUGUGGAAUUCUAAUUAGCGAAGGCUCUUUUCCAAAUAAUGAUUGACGCUGAUAAACGAAGGUGAGGAACGACAAUAGGAUUAGAUACCCUGGCAUCCCUCUCUGUCAACGAUGAAUGGUAGUGGCUAGUUCUAAUGAGCUAGUGGCGAGGUUAACACGUUAACCAUUCCGCCUUGUGAGUACAAUUGCAAAGUUGAAAACAAAAAAAUUAGUCGGUUUCGGAGCAAACGAAGUGAAGCAUGUUAUUUAAUACGAUACCCCGCGUAAAACCUUACCAGUUCUUGUAUAACAAACUUUCUGAUUUUAAUUAAAGUGAGAUUUGAAAGGGAUUGUUUAUUUAAAAAAAUAAAUUUAUCUAGUUACAGGUGUUGCAUGGCUGUCGUCAGUCCGUAUUUUGAGAAGUGAGGUUAAUUCCGCUAACGGACGAAAUCCCUGUUUUUAAUUUAUACUUAAUUACUAAUGAUUCUGAUAGAGUUUCAUUUGGGGCUAAGACAAGUCGUUAUGGCUCUCAUGAACUGGGCUAUAGACGUGCCGCAAAAACUUUUACAAAGUGACGCAAACCCACCUGAAAACUUAAAAUAUAUCGCUUAUAAUUCAUCCUAUUAGUGAAUAAGAAAUUUCAAAUUUCAGAGUUUUAACAGGUAUAAGGAAGAGCUAAUCAUAAAAGAAAGUUAAAAUAUAAACUUUUUCAAACGAAUUGUCAUCUGCAAUUCGAUGACAUGAAGAAGGAAUUUCGAGUAAUCGUUGAUCACUAGGCGCAACGGUGAAUGUGGAAUCCGUGAUGAACUAACUGUCUGUCGCUGGGAAGAAGUUUGGGUAGGAGGAAAAAGGGGCGAAGUUAUCUCUUUUUCAAGAGACUGUUUAAGUAAUUUGUGACUAAUAAUUGAGCGGAUUUCUCUCUCUCAUAUGCAUAUGAUAUGCGCAGAGCGCAAAAGGUAUUAGCCUCUAGGCUGGUGAUCUCUUUUGUUUUUCUGUCACUUUCACUUUUUUUAACUCAUCAUCCCAUUUUAAUAAAUCAGUUUAAGAUAUGGUAAGGAAAAUUUAACUUAUUACUAGACAUCUUUUGUUAAGCUAAUUAGCUUUUUUUAAUUCACUUGGAUAACAUCUCAAAAGUCAUAGCAAGGUAGCCGUACCGGAAGGUGCUGCUGGAAAUUAAACAUA
rnacentral:rRNA from 1 species